ensembl:lncRNA
GGCUGAGGGCCCUGUGCCACAGGCUCUCAGCACGAUGCCUUCCUGCGCGAGCCCAAACUUGUGUGCCUCAGCUUCCUUGUCGGCUUCGAGGGGAUAAAGAUGCCUGUCCUGGGCUGCCCUGGGGUUGGGGGUGGUGCCCCUGCAUCCCCAAGUGGACGGUGAGCGAGAGGGCAGGAGCCACAGCUUCCUCGGUGCUGCGUGCAGAAGGGGAAGGGCCGUCCGUGGGAACCGGGACCCAGGCGGAAAGGAAGGCCAGGUGUCUCCACUUAUCAUAAGAGUCUCCAGCGUACAGUUCUCGGUACAGUUCUCCAGAGCAGCACUCCUCCUGGCACUGUACUCGUAACCACUCUGCUGUCCUGCCUGGCCCUCUGCUGGACCACUCUGCAAUCUCUGGGCAAGUCUGGAAUGGAGUGUCCAGCCCCUCAUCUGACACGUGCAGGCUCUGUCUUCUCUGCUUCCAGACUUCACCCAGACCCUGGGCAUGGGGGAAAACCGAUGGAUUGGGAGCCCAGGGGUUGCUGGGGUGAAGGAAUAAAGGAGUGGUUAUUCUUAGUCUGGACUCUUAGCCUCCUAUUCA